rnacentral:rRNA from 1 species
UCGGGAAUUUUGGGCAAUGGGGGAAACCCUGACCCAGCAACGCCGCGUGAAGGAUGACGGUCCUAUGGAUUGUAAACUGCUUUUUGUACAGGAAGAAACAGUUCUACGUGUAGAACCUUGACGGUACUGUAAGAAUAAGCACCGGCUAACUCUGUGCCAGCAGCCGCGGUAAUACAGAGGGUGCGAGCGUUAAUCGGAGUGACUGGGCGUAAAGGGCAUGUAGGCGGUUAUAUUAGUCUGAUGUAAAAGACCCGGGCUUAACCUGGGAUAUGCAUUGGAAACGGUAUAGCUAGAGUAUGGGAGAGGGAAGUGGAAUUUCCGGUGUAGCGGUGAAAUGCGUAGAGAUCGGAAAGAACACUCGUGGCGAAGGCGGCUUUCUGGCCCAUAACUGACGCUGAGGUGCGAAAGCAUGGGGAGCAAACAGGAUUAGAUACCCUGGUAGUCCCUGAGCGGGCUGGCAAGGCGCAU